AUGCAGUCGAGCGGACAGAUGGGAGCUUGCUCCCUGAUGUUAGCGGCGGACGGGUGAGUAACACGUGGGUAACCUGCCUGUAAGACUGGGAUAACUCCGGGAAACCGGGGCUAAUACCGGAUGCUUGUUUGAACCGCAUGGUUCAAACAUAAAAGGUGGCUUCGGCUACCACUUACAGAUGGACCCGCGGCGCAUUAGCUAGUUGGUGAGGUAAUGGCUCACCAAGGCGACGAUGCGUAGCCGACCUGAGAGGGUGAUCGGCCACACUGGGACUGAGACACGGCCCAGACUCCUACGGGAGGCAGCAGUAGGGAAUCUUCCGCAAUGGACGAAAGUCUGACGGAGCAACGCCGCGUGAGUGAUGAAGGUUUUCGGAUCGUAAAGCUCUGUUGUUAGGGAAGAACAAGUACCGUUCGAAUAGGGCGGUACCUUGACGGUACCUAACCAGAAAGCCACGGCUAACUACGUGCCAGCAGCCGCGGUAAUACGUAGGUGGCAAGCGUUGUCCGGAAUUAUUGGGC
rnacentral:rRNA from 1 species